GUGAGUUCCAGCCCCGAAUUAGGCUCUGUACUGACAGCUCAGAGCCUGGAGCCUGCUUUUGGAUUCAGUGUCUCCCUCUCUGGCCCUUCCUUGCUCAUGUUCUGUCUGUCUCUCCCUCUCAAAAAUAAAUAAACAUUAAAAAAAAUGUAAAAAAAGAGACUAUUGAGACAUGGCCAUUAAAAGCAGCCUGAGAAUGUUAAGACAACUGUUUCUUUGAUCCCUAUGACACUGUCCUAAGUAGCCAAAUAUCAAUGACUUCAUUUGGUUCAACCUAAAUAGACUAAUGUAUUGAUGUGAAAAUUGCUUGAAUCUGAUAAUUGUAAUGUGAUUAUUUAGGAGAGUACUUGUUCUUAGAGAUGUAAGCUGAAGUAUUUAGGAGAGAGAGGAACAAAUGAAUGUGGUCAACUGCCAAAAACUGGUGUAGGUAGGUGAAACGUGUACGAAUAUUCAUGAUGAUAUUCCUGAAACUUUUCAAAAUAAAACACUGGAAAAAAUCAGCAUUCAACGCAGUUCACCCCUGUGAGCAGGACAGAAUCUCACUCCCUCCUGGGAAAGCUUCAGGAUCAGCAUGGAAAGCCACCCUGGCAAUGCAGGCAUGGGGCACUUGGAAGAGUGGCUGUUGAACAGGGCCUUGCCCCCCACCCUGCGCUCAGGGCUGUCACCCACCUGGGUUUCCAGUUCUGUGACCUCCAGGUUCAGUUUAUUCAGGUGCUUGUUCACAAAAGUGAUGAGUGUCUAAAAGAGAAGCACAAGCCAGGCAUUGAGAUGGAGACUCUCCAGUGCCAGACCUGGUGGCCACCUGUGUGACCCUAUUGUGAGGACGAGGACCAGUGUAAUAACCUAGGACAAGGCCCAGCUAAGGGUGCUGCGCCAGGGAUCACUGCUCAGCCGGGUGAGAAUAAGCAGCCUAUGAGGCUUUUCUGCAAAGCUCCUUGAGUUCGCAGGAAAGGACGGCCCCCAGGAUUUGUGGUCUCCUGCACUGUGGGAUUCAAAUAGCCAGUCUCAGGAAUGUGAAAGGGGCAGGGGGUCCCAAGAGGGCAGAAUGAUAGGUGCAAUGUUCCAGCUCAGAGUUGGGGGGGGUGCCAGAGAAGAAGUGACCUCACCGGGUCCCUCCUUCAGACCGUCCUAGGGGCAGGUGCCCUGUGCCUGGGGAGGAGGGAGGGAUGAGUGAGGAGGCCCGGUUGGUUGGGGGUUCAGUGUGGAUGGGAAGACAGGGUGCUUGUAGCUUCAGAACCCCCAGGAGACACUGUCAUCCUGAUGGGAGAAGGGAGUGGGUAAGGUAUCCAGUGGGAACGGGACGGGUAAAGUGUACAUCAGGUGGGAAAAGCCCCGAGUUUGCCGAGAGCUGGCGAGGACACCAGUUUGAAGAAGCUUGCAAGCUGCAUGCGUGUGUUCUACUGUUUGGUGCAGCUCGCCCCCCUCCCUCCCAGGCACCUCUUGCUCACCUUUUUCACUACAUUGAGCUUGUCUGGUGCAUGGUCAAACAAGGUGUCAAAGGCAUCACGUUCUGGAAACACAGGAAAAUGUCAAAUGCAGCAAAGACCUGCUUCCUGGUGGGGAAGCCCACCCCAGGGCUCGGCCAAGAUGGCCACCAGGUCAGAUAUAGGCAGGAAUUCUUUGGUGCAUGAAACUGUGCUGGGAACUCUGGAAACUGGGUUUGGGUAGGUUUUGGGGAUUGAUUCUUAGCUUAGGGGCUUUCUCUGUUUCUCUGUGUCUAUUCUCUAGGUCAUGCCUCUUUUAGGCUGGGAGUGGGGGGCUCUGUUAAGCUGUGGAAUCCCAGAUUGACUUGGGAUUUCUCUUCACUAUUUAUAUCCAUUACAUCAUGACUUAGUUAUGGGCCUAAAGGGUUUCUGAAGCUUUUUGGAGGUAGAAUGUUAUCCAAAUCUCAAAUCACCUCACCUGCUAAUUUUCAAAUCCAGGAUACCCAUGACAAACAUCCGUGCACGGAUAACCGGAUUGGGAGACUGGGAGCCCCGGGAUAGAAUGUGUGGUCUUCCUUUUGAGUGAUCUAGUCACUUCGACCCUUGUGCCUCAGUUUCCUCUUCUAUAAAAUGCCGUCUGAAAAACCUUUCCCAGGUGUGUGGUGAGGACGAAAGAGAAGAAGGCAUGUGCAUGCGUUCUGUAAACUCUGAAGUGUGUGCUGAUCUGAGUUUGUUAGCAGGACUGGGAUAUUUCUCACAUUAUCCAUAGUAUAUACAGGAUCAUUGAAAAUGGCAAAGCCAUGCCCCUUGCCGGGGUUUUUCUUGCUAUAGCCCCCAGAUUCUCUAAACUGAGACGUAAAAUAGAGGAUAGGAUCUGAGGCAGGGGAUGAGAAGAAUGUCCAGGAGGGACCCAGGGCUGGGAAGUUUGGUGGUCCCGGGGUCUGCCUUUUCCUGCUCUUGCACUGAUGAAUAAAUCUGGGACCGCCAGAAGGGUGACUGAGGUCUCUAACGUUCAGACGGUAUAAACAAACCCAAAGUUCUGGGAAACUGGAGCGGGAUGACGUGUGAUGAGGAAAGAGGGAGAAGACUGCCUCUAGAAGGGCUGGACUGAGCGGGGACAGUGGACUUUCCCAAGCGUGUACAUACACCUCUUUACUUCCACAACAAACUUAGAGCAUGACCGCCCUGAAAAUGCCCAGGACCCAUCCAGGGCCUGGCAACGUCAGUGCUCUGGCUACUUACAAGAGGACUGGGCAGCCGUGGUUAGAUUUCCCCUUCCCACCGGUAAGCCGACCCUCCCUACCAAGUGGCCCUGUCACCGGGCUGGUGCAGACACACACGCAGGAAGUAAGCUGAGUGCCUGUUCUUCCCAGCUGCUGCAGAAUUAACUAGAAACCCCGUGGCAGCCACCAGCACCAGAGGAUAAUCUUAUGCAACUCACCGUGCCUUCCGGAAAGAGCCCUGCAGGAAAAGGAGAAAGGAUACAGCAUGAUUCUUCUUCUUUGCCCUUCACUGAAGAGCCCACAAAGCUUCCUUCCUUGGCACUUUCUUCUGCACUAAGUCUCCAAUUAUUGGUAGUCCUUACCCUACUGCCACCUGUUUUUCCCUCUGCCAUACAGAUAGACUGGUGUUUGCACAAAGCCUGGUGUAAGUGAUAUUUAAAGGACUAUUUCUUGCCUUAAGUAAAAUCACACUGUUGCUUAUAGUUGAGAAGGAAUAUCGGACUCGGGGCUUCAACACUCCCAACCACUGCACUGCAUCAGCUUGGGGAUGUCAGCUUUGCCUUUCUCUAGUUCAUCCUGUGAUUCCCACCAAAUCGCACCUGCCAUUGACUCAGAAUCAGUUUCUCAAAUAGGGCAGGAAAUAGAACCAUACUCUUACCAACGAAGCCUCAAAGUACUAACGGCACAAGCAUUAAAACAGACUACUUAGGUCUGAAUCCCAGAGACGCUGUGUGACCUUGGGCAAGCUACGGAGCCUCUCUGGGCUCCCGGUCUCUUCUCUCUAAAAGGAGGAUGAUAAUGGUAAAUACUCCAGUAGGAUGUUCGGAGCAUUAAAUGACUUAAUAUGGAGCAAGACUUUAGCAUAAUUCCUAGUAUAUAGUAAGUGCUCAGUUCGUUUUUUUCGGAAUACGUUUUUGGUUCCUAUUGUAUCGGUUUAUUCCAACUGUGCAUCUAUCACCUACUAGAUGAUGACCUGUGGGUAAUGUACUGGAAGGGAUAAUGAACUUGGGAGUUAGGUGUUGGAUAGACCAAGGACAGUUGCUUCUUCACCUUUGGGAUAUGUGGCUUUAGGAGGGGUGAGCGUUGCUUUGUGUAUUUUGAAUAUCAAUAGAUACGAAAGUGCUUCAUAAAGUGUUCUGUGUUGCUGUUAUUAGGAGUUCACAUCCACCCUCAUGUCUAUGUGGCAAGAUGGCAGAGGGAGACCACAGGAGGCCUGGCGUGCAGCCGACAGAGCACUGCAAACCCAAACGUCAUGUCCCCUGACUCCUCUCAGGUUCUGAGUCCUUGCCUCAUGAGGUCAUCAACCUCGUUUCCUGGAUUCCAGAUGCAUUUCCUGCUCCUGAGGUGUGACCUGGCACAUCUGGACUCCUUGAGACAUUGAUGAAGUGCCAGGCAACAUGCAGGAGGCAAACUGCUAGAACUGGAGGAGACUGGAUCGAUGAGGAAGAUACGGUGUUCCUGCUCUUGGGAAGCCACAGACAUUUCCAUAAACAGCUACAAACAACUUGGAACGUCAUAUAAUAAAGGCAUGUGUGUUAUGUACAUUUAUGUAUGUAUGUGUGUGUGUAUCCGGGGGAACCCAGAAGAGCGCGUGACAAUCACGUCUAGAUGUGAUCCUGUUGUCAGAGGUGCGAGAGGCAGGCGUGUUCUAUGGACCUUAGAGACUGAAAGAUGAACAGUGAGGCUGAAAAGACAGAGGGGGGUCGCAUGAGGGUCUGUGUGAAUGCAGUGCUGCUGGGCCUGACUGGCCCAGUCCCCCCCCCCCCCCCCCCACCGCCCCAACCCUGGCAGGGGAGAGCAAGACUAGACUUGCGUUUUGAGAAGGCCUCCUCUGCUGGCGGCCCAGGAAUGGGCUGGAGGCAGAGAGAGGCAGAAGGCAGGUGAGGUCGGAGGCUGUCUCGACAGCUCAGACCAGUGAAAACCGCAGGGAGAGUGGCUGCAGGAGACCAUGUGAGCAAGAAGAAAGGAGCCCUGGAGGCCCCACACAUACGCGGGGCGUGGCGGGGAAGAGGGGAAGGCGGUUAACUCAGAGCGCAAGAAACCUCUUUGGAAAAGUGGAUGAGCUCAGCGUGAGGGGCACACAGGGGGAGGGGCUGAGUGGGCAGCUAGGAAUGGAAGUCUAGAACUUGGGGCAGAGGUUUGGACUAGAGACAAUGGGGAGCAGCUGAGGCAAAGUCCAAAUUCUUUCAGGUUGAAUUUGUCAUUUCAAUACUAGAUCACCCCUGAAUUCUCCUUUUCCUCCCCGGGGGCCUAUUUUCACAGGAACACACCUUCCCAAGAGACAGCACAUCUAGGCACGCAGAGGCUGAACGUCACAGAGGCACAGGCUCCCACAUUCUUGCACCUGACUUAGAGGUACACAGAGGAACACACACACAGGUCCACAGCUCACAGAGGUAUGCAUACACGCACGUGCACACGCACACAUACACCCACCCAGAGGUGACAGAGGUAUACAUAUAUACGCUUACCCCACACACACGUGUAAAUACACCUACAGAGGUCACAAGUGCAUGGUUUUCUAGAGAGGGUAAGGCAGGUUUUCUAGUACACAGUGGAAUCUUUUCAUCUACCCAGCUGCUGCCCUUCAACUGCUAGGGGGAGCAGCCCCAUCUGGCCAAUGAACUCCCUCGGCAAUUCAUUUAUGUGAAACAGAUUCCAGGAGGCCAUCUAAAGGCCCCACCAGUCUGCGGGCCCACACACCACACUUUGAUAGUGUGAACGGCACGUGAACGGCUGUAAGCUGAGAACCACUCCCAACUAGGAGCCUGAGAGCCAUCCACCUGCCGAGCAAAGCCAUCCACCUCCCCCGCAACAUUCAACC